GCGCCACCACCCGAACCCGAUCCUGAUCCAUACAUCUAUGAUUUCUGGAAGGAAAAGGCUGAAACAAAGUGGGUUUACACUGGAACGUCCGUGGAAUACGAGCCUGGUGGGGUGACUAGCUAUACCACCACUGGCUACACCACUGUACCAGUCGCGCAGGUGGUGCCAGUCUCGCAAGUGGCGCAACACGCAACUUCCCCCCAGUUAGUUACUGUAGCCUAAAUAUGACAGGAUAUGAAGAUAUUGACCACAAAGGUUUUCCCAAGAGGACCGUUGCACCAAGUCCACAAAUACAGUUGUAAUUAUUUCACUUUAGGAUCAGUGCACGAAUAUUUAGAAGAAAAGUUGUACCAAGUUUACAUAUAAACAUGUGGCAGUUUUGGAUAACCAUUGGACCAAG